rnacentral:rRNA from 1 species
UAAAUGUCUGGGAAACGUGCCUGAUGGAGGGGGAUAACUACUGGAAACGGUAGCUAAUACCGCAUAAUGUCGCAAGACCAAAGUGGGGGGACUUCGGGCCUCAUGCCAUCAGAUGUGCCCAGAUGGGAUUAGCUAGUAGGUGGGGUAACGGCUCACCUAGGCGACGAUCCCUAGCUGGUCUGAGAGGAUGACCAGCCACACUGGAACUGAGACACGGUCCAG